rnacentral:rRNA from 1 species
GGAUGAACGCUGGCGGCGUGCCUUAAGCAUGCAAGUCGAACGGUGAGAGUCGCAAGAUUCAAGCAGUGGCGGACGGGUGAGUAUAAGCAAGGAACGUACCCUAAACUCCUCUAUAGCUCGUCGAAAGACGGGGUAAUUGGGGAUGUGGAUGCAAAUCUAAAGGGAUUAACCUCCCGGUUUAGGAGCGGCCUUGUUCCUAUCAGCUUGUUGGUGGGGUAAUGGCCUACCAAGGCUCUGACGGGUAGGGGGUGUGAGAGCACGACCCCCCACAAUGGCACUGAGAAACGGGCCAUACAUCUACGGAUGGCAGCAACUGGGAAUCGUUGGCAAUGGGCGAAAGCCUGACCACGCGACGCCGCGUGAGGGAUGAAGUAUUUCGGUAUGUAAACCUCUUUUAUAGAACUAUCAUGGUUCUAAGAAUAAGCACCUACAAACUACGUGCCAGCAGUCGCGGUAAUACGUAGGGUGCAAGCGUUAUCCGGAUUUACUGGGCGUAAAGGGUCGUGUAGGUGGUUUUCCGCAUUGUUCCUGAAAGCCCGAGGCUUAACCUCGGCGUUGGGAACAAGAUGGGGAGACUUGAGGGUUGCAGAGGCAAGGGGAACUCAUGGUGGAGCAGUGAAAUGCGUUGAUAUCAUGAGGAACACCAAAGGCGAAGGCACCUUGCUGGGCAACAUCUGACACUCAGACACGAAAGCUAGGGGAGCGAAGCAGAUUAGAGACCUGCGUAGUCCUAGCCCUAAACGCAUGUCUGCUAGAUGCCUCCGAUUUAUCGGGGGUGUCGUAAGCUAACGCGUUAAGCAGACCGCCUGGGGAGUACGAUCGCAAGAUUAAAACUCAAAG